UGCCGCCUCCACUUAUUCUUCUUUUUGUGUUGAUAAUAAAGUGGAAAGGGGAUUGACUGGAAUCUUGUUUCUGGAAAAUUUCUUUUAAAAUCCCCAAAUCAGAAAUCACUCCAAACCCUAACCCUAGACAAAACAUCAGCCAUGUCCGGAAGACAAGGUGGAAAGUUGAAACCCUUGAAGCAACCUAAGAAGGACAAAACCGAUUUGGAUGAUGAUGACAAGGCCAACCUUCAAAAGAAGAAGGAAGAGGAGAAAGCACUCAAAGAACUUAGAGCUAAGGCGCAGCAGAAGGGAGCAUUCGGAGGCUCAGGACUGAAGAAGAGUGGAAAGAAAUGAGGAAUCUUCCUGAAACAAAAUUAUGGACCUUGCAAUUACAUGGUGUGAUAUGUUAUUGUGAUGACUACUUUCGUAAUUUUAAUGGUUGAUGUUAUAUGCUUGUUCAACUCUUGAAGUUGCUAAUGGUUUUCUAAUCAUGUAAACUAAUAAUUCUAAAGUGAAUACAUUUAGCUUGGUCUGCAUUUUGUGAUUAA